AUGCACCUGAGCAGAGAAGCUGCCGAUAUAGUCGGUUGGUUUACGAUUGGACUGUUUGUGGCCUUUGCUGCUCUGGGCCUCUACUGCAUUUUUCAGUCAAUCCAGUUCUGGUUUCGGAUUCGGAAAGGGACCUUGCUCUCACUCGGUUACUUUAAUGGUCCCUGGGUGACUCGCAUUGCUCUGAUUCUGAUCACUAUUUGGUGGGGAGUAGGGGAGAUUGUGAGAUUGAGCUUCUUGAAGGGAUGGCUGUUCUCCAGCUUAGUGUGGCAGAAGAUCGCAUGUGACGCCUACAUUCUCUCCAAUCUAGGGUUUGCUGAACCAAGCAUCUUCUUUGGCUUUGCUUUCCUCCUGCAUGGCUCAUUACAGAAGAGGGAGCUGGGCACUUUGACCCAGAGAUGGAACUUGAAGACCAUUGGCUACAUGUUGGUUUUCUGUGUUCCGGUGUUCUUCAUUCAGGCCCUUCUUGUGUUUGUUGGGCCUACAUUUGUUAAGGAUGAGAACAGUGCACAUGGAAGGAGAGUGUUUGCUAAAUACUUCAUUCAGACGUCCAUGCCAGUUGGGGACACCAAUGUUUGCACCUAUCCGUUGUUUGGCACCAUUUUUCUGGGACUUAUCGAUGCCGUCCUGAUGAGCUAUGUCUCCUAUGUUGGAUCUCGGGUGUUAUCCUUGGUCAUCAACAAGGCGCUGCGAAAGAGGGUUUCCUGGCUGAUAAUGUCGGUGCUUUUCUUCCUUCCUAUCAGGGUGCUUCUUCUAGGGUUCUCAGUGAUGCCCAGCCCAGGAGAUAAAGCAUUUGAGGUCAUCGUCUUCUUGUCAUUCGUGAUGAUGCUAUCCGGCACAACUGUUGGGAUACUCUUGCUGGUAUUCUGGCCUGUCCGUGAUUCAUUGGCACUCAAAGAUGCAGGCAGCAGGGAGAUAGCAGAGAUGGUGCCUUAUGACGAUUACUACUAUGAGGGCUCGUCGCUUGUGGCCAACCAGAGCUUCCGAGAAAUCGAGCGGAACUCUGACACGUCAACAAAGCGUGGCUCCAUAUCCUUCCGCACAAUGAUCAGGGAAGACCAGCUUCCGCCGGAUGGCACAGAUGAGAUCGGCUUCUCCUCUCGCAGCGGCGUCCAUAUUGGAUCAUCCUCGCCUGCAGGUUCUUCACCAAGCGCCGCAAUGCCCAUGCUGCCUCUCAAGGAGGUCCCUAGAUACUAA
rnacentral:rRNA from 1 species